rnacentral:misc_RNA from 1 species
UGUUAUAUUCUAAUGACUGUCAAAUAAAAAUAUGGACAUCAUCAAAAUACUUGCAAAUAAAUUUCGUUCAUUAACAACCCUUCCAAAAAACUGAAAAUAUUUUGACUUUGUCGUAUAUUCUUUUGUUAAAUGCAAUCCUUAUUUUCAGCAUUAAACAAAAAGAAUCCUU